rnacentral:misc_RNA from 1 species
GAUGAAGAACGUAGCGAAAUGCGAUACGUAAUGUGAAUUGCAAAUUCAGUGAAUCAUCGAGUCUUUGAACGCACAUUGCGCCCCCUGGUAUUCCGGGGGGCAUGCCUGUCCGAGCGUCAUUGCUGCCCUCAAGCACGGCUUGUGUGUUGGGCCCCGUCCUCCGAUCCCGGGGGACGGGCCCGAAAGGCAGCGGCGGCACCGCGUCCGGUCCUCGAGCGUAUGGGGCUUUGUCACCCGCUCUGUAGGCCCGGCCGGCGCUUGCCGAUCAACCCAAAUUUUUAUCCAGGUUGACCUCGGAUCAGGUAGGGAUACCCGCUGAACUUACGCAUAUCAAUAAGCGGAGGA